UUCGAAGCAACGCGAAGAACCUUACCAAAUCUUGACAUCCUUUGACCCUUCUAGAGAUAGAAGUUUCCCCUUCGGGGGACAAAGUGACAGGUGGUGCAUGGUUGUCGUCAGCUCGUGUCGUGAGAUGUUGGGUUAAGUCCCGCAACGAGCGCAACCCUUAAGCUUAGUUGCCAUCAUUAAGUUGGGCACUCUAAGUUGACUGCCGGUGACAAACCGGAGGAAGGUGGGGAUGACGUCAAAUCAUCAUGCCCCUUAUGAUUUGGGCUACACACGUGCUACAAUGGACAAUACAAAGGGCAGCGAAACCGCGAGGUCAAGCAAAUCCCAUAAAGUUGUUCUCAGUUCGGAUUGUAGUCUGCAACUCGACUACAUGAAGCUGGAAUCGCUAGUAAUCGUAGAUCAGCAUGCUACGGUGAAUACGUUCCCGGGUCUUGUACACACCGCCCGUCACACCACGAGAGUUUGUAACACCCGAAGCCGGUGGAGUAACCAGAUGGAG
rnacentral:rRNA from 1 species